rnacentral:sRNA from 1 species
UUUCUUCCAUCUAGAUAAUUCCUCCUCAUCUACUUGGUCCUCUUCAUCCUCCUCUGAUUCACUAGAUUGAUCAUCACUAUCAGAGUCUGUUUCAAUAUUCAUCGUCCUUUUCUUUUUACUUGCAGAUUGUUUCAAAGUCCCAAAGUUAUUCUUAAAA